UUCUUCUCAUAAUUACAUAUUUAACAACUAGUAUGGCUAAUGAGUACAAAAUUUUGGAGGUACUACACUACAAGGCAGAAGAGAAUAUCUGUACUUGCAAGCAGUCUUGAAGACCUUCUGAAGAAAGGUAAGUAUUUUUACACACUACAGCACAAUUACAACACAGUGUUAGGUUGUGUGCUCAAAAGAGGAAUCUCAGAAUUAUUUAGAAUAUAAAGCCUUGUCAUGAGAAAAUCUGUACAGGUGUGACUACUGUACAGCCACAGUUGAUGGCGUAAAACACUUUGUGAAAGUCUGGUGAUCCAGAUGCCAAGUAAAGCCGAUAUGUGAAUAGAAAAAAAUAGACAUUUCACAGUAUCAUAGCUUUAUUUACAUUUGAAUUGAUUUUUUAAAAAAAGAAAUGUGAUUCUACCUUUCUGUGUUUAAUUUUUACUACAUUUGCAAAUUCAAUAAAUUAUCAUCAUGUAAGUAUUACCUAAUUGCAAUAACUAUUGUCCUCCACUUUGAUUUUCACAAACAUUCAACAUGGUGAACCCUAAAUGUUAAUCAUAUUAUUCACAAAAUUUUAGCCUUGCAAAAAUAUCUGAUUUCACAGUAUAAAGAAAAUUCAAACAAGUAGACUAAAAAAAACACAAACUUUUCACAAAAUAUAAUAAUCAUGUUAACAGUAAAACAAACCCUACUUGAUGAUAUUAUUUAGAAUUUUCUUAAAAGAAAGGAACAGUUGUCAAAAUUUAAUUUGAGUUCUAUAUAUGCUGUUGAGAUCCAUUUGUGAUGGCAGAAAUCAUAUUCAUGAAUAUAACUACGGAUCUCAUCUAUAUAAUAUUUGAUAGCUACAAUACAUAAUUGUUAUGUUAGAAUGACUGUGUUAUGUUUAACAGAAAAGAUCUGUAGUUUGAUAAAUAAUUCAAAUAGUUUGAUACUUCGAUCUAGUUGGUAUUGAUGACUAUUUCUCAGAAACACUAACUCAAGUUUUAUUCAAUAUUUUAGCUGGUGACAAGCAACAGUUGCAAGGAGGAAGUUUGAUUGUUGUGCUGGAAAAAGAUAGAAAUGGCAGAAAACGCCAUCCUUGACAUAUUCAAAACUAAGUAUUGAUGCUUCUAGGGAAGAAAACGCCAUCCUUGACAUAUUCAAAACUAAGUAUUGAUGCUUCUAGAAGACCAACAAAUAUGAGAACCUGAUAUUCCAAAAGACACUGUUGUAAUGUUUUGGCAGACACCCAAGAUGCCAACAUGUCAAAGACUGAGACAGAGUCCACAACUAUUACCACAGCGACAGAAAUUGUAACACCAUCUUAUGUUGUUGGAAAUUAAAUUAAUUCUUGCAGUAGGCCACAUCCAACCAUUUGUUGACUAGAGAUAUUGUUUGAAGCAGUAGCUACACUUAAACCUGGAGGAAAAGAGUGCAAAGAUGAUUUGGACGUUAUAAGAGCCAUAGAAAGUAAUACAGGAUUCAAACAUGGAAAGGGGUGCAAGACUAGAUAAAUUGUAGUUCUACAUAAGGAUAUUGAAGAAGCUAAUCCGUCAAAGGUCCUGUCAUCACAGCCUAAUUCUCCUCCAAGUGAAGCCUUGUUUUUAUUUUUAACAACAUAGAACUGGACAAACAGUAUAUUGUUGGAGACCAGUGCAAGAUACCACUUGAGACAGAUAGCCUCAUGGAAGGGCUAUUCUUAUUAAUAAGCUGGUAUUAUAUAAUGGAUCUAGAAAAUCCCACUGCUUUUCACAACUCCUUGGAUUCAUGCAACAAACAGUAUUUAAACAAGCCUUUCUUAGUCACAAGUCGGCUGGGAAUUUACACUUUGUGGAAAAAUUGGAAAAACUAAUGAACAAAUACAACCAACAUUUUAAAUUAAAUUCAACCUUCUGUGUCAUGGACAUAUUAUUGACUUCUUAACAGCUUACCUUUUACCAUGAAAAAACCUGCUUUUUUGCACUUGCAAAAACAAAGGUGCAGAAUAGCUGUGUGGUAACCAUCAGCUGAUCAGUGCCUUUAUUUUUGCUGCAUAGAUGGUGCAAUCCCUCCCAUUCCUUAAUCAGACAUUUAAAUCAUCUUGAUGUCUGAACAUCAAGCUGUAUAUUUUGGCUCUAUUUGAAAUAGCAAAUGUCAAGUGUCAAUAUUUUUCAAAACAGCUAAGACUAUGCUUCUUUUUAGGAACUUUUAAAUCCAGUGAUUUAUCAAAUUAUUAUUCACUAGCAGAAAAUAUUGACUUAAUAAUGCAGUGUUUAAACACUAAUUUUAUUAUCUAUGACAUCAGUAUG